UACGUAGGGUGCGAGCGUUGUCCGGAAUUAUUGGGCGUAAAGAGCUCGUAGGCGGUUUGUCACGUCUGCUGUGAAAUCCCGAGGCUCAACCUCGGGCCUGCAGUGGGUAUGGGCAGACUGGAGUGCGGUAGGGGAGAAUGGAAUUCCUGGUGUAGCGGUGGAAUGCGCAGAUAUCAGGAGGAACACCGAUGGCGAAGGCAGUUCUCUGGGCCGUAACUGACGCUGAGGAGCGAAAGCGUGGGGAGCGAACAGG
rnacentral:rRNA from 1 species